rnacentral:rRNA from 1 species
CCUACGGGUGGCUGCAGUCGAGAAUCUUCGUCAAUGGGCGAAAGCCUGAACGAGCGACGCCGCGUGCGGGAUGAAGGCCUUUGGGUUGUAAACCGCUGUCGAGGGGGAUGAAGGCUGGAAAGUCAUCUUUCCAGUUUGACAGAGCCCUGGAGGAAGCACGGGCUAAGUUCGUGCCAGCAGCCGCGGUAAUACGAACUGUGCGAACGUUAUUCGGAAUCACUGGGCUUAGAGGGUGCGUAAGCUCAGUUUCGAAAGCCCCCGGCUCAACCGGGGAAUGGCGCUUGAAACUGGAGAGCUCGAGUCAGCUAGAGGUGCACGGAACUUCCAGUGGAGCGGUGAAAUGUGUUGAUAUUGGAAGGAACACCGGAGGCGAAAGCGGUGCACUGGGGCUGGUCUGACGCUGAGGCACGAAAGCCAGGGGAGCGAACGGGAUUAGAUACCCCAGUAGUC